GUGCCAGCAGCCGCGGUAAUACGUAGGGUGCAAGCGUUAUCCGGAAUUAUUGGGCGUAAAGAGCUCGUAGGCGGUUUGUCGCGUCUGCUGUGAAAUUCCGAGGCUCAACCUCGGGCUUGCAGUGGGUACGGGCAGACUAGAGUGCGGUAGGGGAGAUUGGAAUUCCUGGUGUAGCGGUGGAAUGCGCAGAUAUCAGGAGGAACACCGAUGGCGAAGGCAGAUCUCUGGGCCGUAACUGACGCUGAGGAGCGAAAGGGUGGGGAGCAAACAGGCUUAGAUACCCUGGUAGUCCACCCCGUAAACGUUGGGAACUAGUUGUGGGGUCCUUUCCACGGAUUCCGUGACGCAGCUAACGCAUUAAGUUCCCCGCCUGGGGAGUACGGCCGCAAGGCUAAAACUCAAAGGAAUUGACGGGGACCGCACAAGCGGCGGAGCAUGCGGAUUAAUUCGAUGCAACGCGAAGAACCUUACCAAGGCUUGACAUACACGAGAACGGGCCAGAAAUGGUCAACUCUUUGGACACUCGUGAACAGGUGGUGCAUGGUUGUCGUCAGCUCGUGUCGUGAGAUGUUGGGUUAAGUCCCGCAACGAGCGCAACCCUCGUUCUAUGUUGCCAGCACGUAAUGGUGGGAACUCAUGGGAUACUGCCGGGGUCAACUCGGAGGAAGGUGGGGAUGACGUCAAAUCAUCAUGCCCCUUAUGUCUUGGGCUUCACGCAUGCCACAAUGGCCGGUACAAUGGGCUGCGAUACCGUAAGGUGGAGCGAAUCCCAAAAAGCCGGUCCCAGUUCGGAUUGAGGUCUGCAACUCGACCUCAUGAAGUCGGAGUCGCUAGUAAUCGCAGAUCAGCAACGCUGCGGUGAAUACGUUCCCGGGUCUUGCACUCACCGCCCGUC
rnacentral:rRNA from 1 species